GAGCCGGACAAACACUCGGAUAUGGAGAUGCCGCCAUUGGGGUCGCAUAUGCACCCCAUUGAGAUUUCUAGUGGUUCUGCUUCUUACGCAGGAUCACCUUACUAAAGUCCUAACGAAUGGGACCAAUAUUGGAACCAGUUCACAUUCGUGAAAAUCCCCUCCCAACCAACAAAAUCAUAUUCCCGCCAAGGAUUAACUGUUUAUUUGAAUAAUUUGUACAUUUAGAUCUCUAAUAAUUAAUUUUUUAUUUAAUAGUGAUAUUUGUUUUUUUUUCUUUUGAGCUUUCUGAACACGCUCUCGUCAACCUGACCCAGUUGUUCAGAACGCGUAUAAACUUGAACUAGUUUGAUUUUUUUUAAAUAACCCGUUUUAACGUGAGAGCAUUUUACUCAUAACGCGUGUUUACUCGAACUUAUUUUGAUGACAACACUAUUAAAUUAAAAGAAAAAGUUUAAAUUUCAUUUAUGAAUUACAAAAUUGACUAAGUUGGGUCAAGAUAAAAAUUCGAUUGUGAUAUAAUAAUAUUACACGUUCAGUUAUUGAUUAUGCAUUUAACCCCCCCCCCCCCACACACAACACACACAAACGGUUACUUCAAUUAUAUAUGGCACAAAGUUGUUUCCCGCCUUUUUACAAUUGACAAACUCCACUCCAUUCGGGUAUAAAAUUUGUUAAACAAAUUUCUUCACUCAUAUCAUCACAUUUCAGAUUUUGCGAUCUUGAUUUGUAAUCAUCAUUGUUAGGAAUUUCAUCAUAGGUAAUUGAAGUACUGUGAUUCUGAUUUCCGAUAGGAAUUUCAUCGUAGAUAAAAAUGGACAAAGGGAAAAACAAGGCAGAUACAAGCGAAACCUAAACCAACAAGGGGAAACAUACAAAGUCAGCCGUGAAGGCGCUUAAGGUCAAAGGAGAAGCACUAUCUGGGGUGGACUCGGGAUCAUCGGAGGUCCCCGGUGUAGAAGCUAGGGUGGCGGUGGCGACACCACCCCCGAAGAAGAAGAAACGGGGUGCGGCAACGAGAUUUCUUAUCGAUGACGAGGCGUCUAACCCCUCCCCGAAGAAGGGACCCUCCCCGAGAAAGAAAAAAGGGGGCGGGGGCGAAGAUCUCGAUGGGGGCAUAGAUGAAGCGGAGGAAACUGAUUCUGUAUGUUAAAAAAUCAAAAGGACAAAAAAAGAUGAUCAUGAUGGUGGGAGUUCCAAACAGCUUUCAAUCAAGUAGCAGGUUAUACACUAGUGAUGGAGCUGGUUGAGUGCAUCGCCAACUUUGUAAGUACGGUUCUUAGUUUUGUGCAAACCAAUCUUGGUGUGAAAGACAUUUGAAAGCUGGAAUAAUAAACUGUGAACAAGAGUUGUUUAGGCAUUUAGUUCAUUCUGUUAUCAUAUAUUUUCUUUGACCGAAAUGGUGAUUACACCUUUUUAUGACCUAUGAUUCCUACA